GACGAACGCUGGCGGCGUGCUUAACACAUGCAAGUCGAACGGAAAGGCCCUGCUUUUGUGGGGUGCUCGAGUGGCGAACGGGUGAGUAGCACGUGAGUAACCUGCCCUUGACCUUGGGAUAACUUCAGGAAACUGGGGCUAAUACCGGAUAGGAGCUCCUGCUGCAUGGUGGGGGUUGGAAAGUUUCGGCGGUUGGGGAUGGACUCGCGGCUUAUCAGCUUGUUGGUGGGGUAGUGGCUUACCAAGGCUUUGACGGGUAGCCGGCCUGAGAGGGUGACCGGCCACAUUGGGACUGAGAUACGGCCCAGACUCCUACGGGAGGCAGCAGUGGGGAAUAUUGCACAAUGGGCGGAAGCCUGAUGCAGCAACGCCGCGUGCGGGGUGACGGCCUUCGGGUUGUAAACCGCUUUCGCCUGUGACGAAGCGUGAGUGACGGUAAUGGGUAAAGAAGCACCGGCUAACUACGUG
rnacentral:rRNA from 1 species